AGUACUUAAAAAUCAGCAAUAAACGUUCUAAUUAACCACAUUUUCCCCCAAUUAACCAACAUUAUACAUUAGCCACAACAAAAAUCUCAAAAGUUCAAACACUUACCCAACUUCCAUAACGAUUCCUAGCACCACUAAUCCACAAGAAGAAAGUUUUGAUCCUCACGAUUCACCACUGUCAACAAACCUAAUAAUAUAAUCAACAAAAAGAUAACAACACCAGUUCCACAAUAAACUUGGAAAUUACCCCCAAACUGAACGAAACCCCAUAAACCCCA
rnacentral:lncRNA from 1 species